GGCAUACAUUCUCUCUGUUAGGCAUUAUAAACGGAUGACAAAAUAUCUACGGAAAUAUAAAUAAAUGUGAGACAACAUCUUUUGAGUAACGUCACCAUUUAUUUACCACCAGCCUAGCAUAGAAUGUCUCUCGCUCAUGAGCGUAAUGAAAGUCACUUUUCUGAACAAAGUUUGGCAAAGAUCUAUAUUCGGGCUUACACAUGCUCUUCAGUUCAUUUAACCCACACCGAAAGCUGCUGUAAAUGAAUUGGAAAAAAACUGUUUUAUUCAAUAUUUAGACGGCUAGAAGGAAUUAAGUUGCUUGCAACCAGCUGUUAGCAUAUAUAAAAGAUGGUCGGACGCAUGAGAUUCAAACUAGU